UACUAUUUUUCAAAAUGCAAUGGAAUUAAUUGAAGGAAUUCAAGGAAACAAGUUGCCUUUGCUUCUCCGUAAUUAUAUCCUUCUACAAAAACAAUAUUCCAAAAUCUCACUAUAUUACAAUUACAUUUAAUUCUCAUUAUUAUAUUAGAAGAUAAUCAUUUUUUGUGAUCAAGAAUUUCGACUGCAUUUGGCUACUCAAACACGCACCUAAUUAGGCAAACUAAUAACUCCACAUAUAGAAAAAAAAUAAAAAAAAAA
rnacentral:lncRNA from 1 species